GUGGAUACCAUGGCGUGUGAGUUAGAUGUGGUCCCUGCCCUCACAGGGCUGACAGUCCUGAAAUCAAGUGCUGGGACACAGUGGCCAUUGAGCUGGGAGCAUUCUUCCCUCUACUGCUUAAGCCACUGAUGGCUACGAGCUUGAAGAGAGGGAUUCUGGGGGAGAGCUUGGUCCAUCUGGUCACCAAGGCUGGGCAGGACAAAGCAGUCAAGAACCACGGUGUGGCUUGAGAAACAGUCCUGCUUCCUGAGCCUCUUUGCUCUGCCUCUUGGGGCAAGCUCCUUAACCUGUCUGUAUCUUUAUGCCUCUGUCUCCCAUUCAGUUCCUCCUUGAAUACCUCUUUCUACAGAGAGGCAUGGGCUCCCCUGAAGGAUUGUCGAGGCCAGGGUUUGGGAAGUACACUGCCACGGGUCAGAGGACAGCUGCCUCCCACCUUGCCUGGGUGAUGGUGAAUGGGACUCAUCUUUCCCUGCCUUGCUUUUGAGGAGAUGGUUGAAUUUAAGCUAACAGGAAAGCCAAACCAGCACCCUCCUUUGUGCUCUGAGAGGUUGGAGACAUCUGGUCCACCCUGUCGCCCCUGCCCCGGCAAGCCCUGAAGUCGGGAGAAGUGACCACAGGUCUGAAAAUCAGCCAGUGCCAACAUUGCUUGCCCUGCAAGGUGCAACUGAGCCCACAUUCAUAGUUUCCCUGACCACAGCCUUGGGAAGAGGGUGGAAACCCCCGAGGAUGUGUGGGUUUCCCAGCUAAGGGACAAGCUCCCCUGCCACACCCAGUGCCCAUGCAUGCUCGCAUACAUACAGCAGACCACAGCCCUGUUGCCAAGCAGUGCUUCCAAGGGACAGCGAUCCAGAUUCCAACAUUGUCUUGGAGAGGGUUAGUCCACAUCUGAGUUGUGUGAGAUGAGAUGCAAAGGGCUCUGUGUGGGUGAGGAACGCAACUUAGAGAAGCGGGAGAGGCCACCAGGGUUGGGCCCUGUUUAGGUAAUUCCUGUUGGCAACACCUAGAGAGAGCAUCUGAGCUGAAGGAGUGGGAAACUUUGCCCCAGCAAUGGCACGGGCAGCGGGCUCUUUCUGGCGCCCUGUGCUGGAGCAGGGCCAAGUCUUAGGGCAUCACAAACAGCCCAUUUGAUGGAGGGAGCAGGGACAUAGCACAUUUUUGUCUGUCUUUGUGAGGCUGCUUUGCUAACUCUCUGAGGAGAGGAAGCCUCUCAGGCUUUCCAUCAGCUGGGGCUAGUGCCAGAGAAUCCCUUCUCAGUGGCCAGCAGGUUCCUGGGAGGCCAGCACAAGGCACCGCUCCCCGCUCAUGACACCUUGGUGCAGAGUGACCUCCUGCCCAGUCACCACUCCGGCCAGCCCCAGCCAAACACACAAAAGCCCAUGGUUGCGGUUGCAUCUACCCCAUUAGUUGGCAAAGGAUCCUGCUUGAGCUCUGCGUGGUGGCCAAGGAGUAGCAUGGAGGAGGGCCCUGAUUUUAAAAAGGAAGAAUAGAGAGGCCUCAAAACAAUGAAACCAAGAGCUUGAUAUGUCAAGAGGAGACCAAGGCCCUGGGAGGCAUAGGCAAGCCGGGCAGAGUCAGACCAGCGCCCUCCCUUGACUGUCUCCUAGCAUUCCCCUCCCUUAACCUAGACAGGGGCUACCCCAUGUGAGUUCAAGCCAGACUUUGUGGCUGUCCCCAGCCUGCACAGCCCAAGCCCAGGGAAGUGUCCUUUCUUUCCCUUCCUUACUAAUAAUGGGCCUUCCUGAGACACAUUCAGAGAAGGAUCAGAGAGAAAGGAGAACCAUCCAGGAGAGCCACAAGCGCCCACCAAACAGUGUCUCAAGCCUCACCUGAAGCUGCUGUUCCUCCUAUCAGCAUACUAGUAUUAAAUGAGUGUUCCAUCAUGAGGAGAAUGGAAAUAGGUACAAAGGCAUCUAGCUUAGGACAGAAUCGGAUUUCAGCAUGUUAAGGAAUCCCAGAGCUGAUCUCAUUGAAAUGAUUUAUCGUACAGACAAGGAUAUGCAAAUCCACAGAAGUGAAGGGAUUUUUGCUCAAGAUCACAUAGCUGGUAAACUAAGAUAAGGUCAGGGCUUGAACUUGGGCCUUCUGACUCCUUGUCCAGUGUUCUUUCAUCUCACCACAGCUGCCUCCUUUGAAACAGAGGUAUUAAGAUCUGUCCUUCUGGUUCACCCUCUCAUACCUCUUUACUGCCUCUCCCACACCCCCCCACAUGCCUCCCAAAAUGAAAGACAAACAGGAUUGUUUCUGAGACCAAGAUCAGUCUGUCUGUGAUCAGCCUGUGUGUGGUUCACCCAGCCGUGCAAUUAGGGCAGACCUGGGCCAGUGGAAUAGAACAGCUGAUUGGUGUUUGUUACUGUGAACCCUAGACCGUACCCCAUAGAAUGGUGUCUCUUGCUUUGUAACACAUCAGGCCUUCAGCGUGCUGUAUUCCUCAGAAGUGAGGGCAACUCUGUCCAUUCUGCCCAUGGCCACAGGUGCAGAGAGAGGUAGCAGGGCCCAUGCAAGCUGCCACCCUGGGAUUUGCUGGGCUGGAGUUCAACAGAUGUAAAGACUUCGGUGAAGCAAUAAACACAAAACUCUGGGAGAAGAUAUCCAGAAUUUUGUACAUUACUCUGUUUCUUUUUCAAAAAUGAGGCAGAUCAGAUGCCCCUGAGCUGCCCCUUUUUUUCUGAUUCCCAACUGCAAUGUCCUCAGUCAGUGUUGUCCCUUUGCCCGGCUCCCCAACUCUUUGCCAACCUCUUCACACUCCCCUUGAGCUGAGCAUCAGUCGCCUGUGACGUGGCCACCUUCUGUCCUGCUCCCACUCCCGACCCAUGCUGGACCCCGGAGGACCUCCUGCCCCGCCCCCACCACACACCCAUAUCCCCCACCAUUCCAAUUUGUUCUUUCCCGUGGGGAAUUUUUUUUCCCAGCGUCUCCAUCCCUUCCUACAUAUCCACACACACACAAAUUGGUCUGAUCUUUUUUCCAUUGGUUAAACGUUUAACUCCAUGCCAGACCUUGGUUUAACCCCUCUCACAUCAUGUUCGUUCCUUUUUUGCGAGUUAUUUUGCAUUAACCAACUUUGUCAGUGACAGAUGCGUAUCUGAGGGUGUCACGCACGACCUUCAGCAGGGAAGACUUCUGGGCCGUGGAGGACCGUCUAAUACAUGGACUUAUAAACUGACUGCAUGAGCAAUGAAAAGGCCAAAUUAUUCUGAAUUUUUUUUGAAUCACUGUAAAAAAACUGAUUUCUUUUGUAUAGAGAACACUAAACGUAUAAUAAAAGUUGUUCAAA
ensembl:lncRNA